rnacentral:rRNA from 1 species
CCUACGGGAGGCAGCAGUGGGGAAUAUUGGACAAUGGGGGGAACCCUGAUCCAGCCAUGCCGCGUGUGUGAAGAAGGCCCUCGGGUUGUAAAGCACUUUCAGUGAGGAAGAACGCCUGGUGGUUAAUACCCAUCAGGAAAGACAUCACUCACAGAAGAAGCACCGGCUAACUCCGUGCCAGCAGCCGCGGUAAUACGGAGGGUGCGAGCGUUAAUCGGAAUUACUGGGCGUAAAGCGCGCGUAGGUGGCUUGAUAAGCCGGUUGUGAAAGCCCCGGGCUCAACCUGGGAACGGCAUCCGGAACUGUCAAGCUAGAGUGCAGGCGAGGAAGGUAGAAUUCCCGGUGUAGCGGUGAAAUGCGUAGAGAUCGGGAGGAAUACCAGUGGCGAAGGCGGCCUUCUGGACUGACACUGACACUGAGGUGCGAAAGCGUGGGUAGCAAACAGGAUUAGAUACCCUGGUAGUC